rnacentral:rRNA from 1 species
UACGUAGGGGGCAAGCGUUGUCCGGAAUCAUUGGGCGUAAAGAGCUUGUAGGCGGCUCGGUAAGUCCGCUGUGAAAGUCCAGGGCUCAACCCUGGAAUGCCGGUGGAUACUGUCGGGCUAGAGUCCGGAAGAGGCGAGUGGAACUCCUGGUGUAGCGGUGAAAUGCGCAGAUAUCAGGAAGAACACCAAUAGCGAAGGCAGCUCGCUGGGACGGUACUGACGCUGAGACGCGAAAGCGUGGGGAGCGAACAGG